rnacentral:rRNA from 1 species
GAUGAACGCUGGCGGCGUGCCUAAUACAUGCAAGUCGAGCGAACGGACGAGAAGCUUGCUUUUCUGAUGUUAGCGGCGGACGGGUGAGUAACACGUGGAUAACCUACCUAUAAGACUGGGAUAACUUCGGGAAACCGGAGCUAAUACCGGAUAAUAUUUUGAACCGCAUGGUUCAAAAGUGAAAGACGGUCUUGCUGUCACUUAUAGAUGGAUCCGCGCUGCAUUAGCUAGUUGGUAAGGUAACGGCUUACCAAGGCAACGAUGCAUAGCCGACCUGGGAGGGUGAUCGGCCACACUGGAACUGAGACACGGUCCAGACUCCUACGGGGGGCAGCAGUAGGGAAUCUUCCGCAAUGGGCGAAAGCCUGACGGAGCAACGCCGCGUGAGUGAUGAAGGUCUUCGGAUCGUAAAACUCUGUUAUUAGGGAAGAACAUAUGUGUAAGUAACUGUGCACAUCUUGACGGUACCUAAUCAGAAAGCCACGGCUAACUACGUG